rnacentral:rRNA from 1 species
AGUCGUCUUUUAGAUGACGAAGUGGUUGAUGCCAUGCUUCCAAGAAAAGCUUCUAAGCUUCAGGUAACCAGGAACCGUACCCCAAACCGACACAGGUGGUCGGGUAGAGAAUACCAAGGCGCUUGAGAGAACUCGGGUGAAGGAACUAGGCAAAAUGGCACCGUAACUUCGGGAGAAGGUGCGCCGGCUAGGGUGAAGGAUUUACUCCGUAAGCUCUGGCUGGUCGAAGAUACCAGGCCGCUGCGACUGUUUAUUAAAAACACAGCACUCUGCAAACACGAAAGUGGACGUAUAGGGUGCGACGCCUGCCCGGUGCCGGAAGGUUAAUUGAUGGGGUUAGCGCAAGCGAAGCUCUUGAUCGAAGCCCCGGUAAACGGCGGCCGUAACUAUAACGGUCCUAAAGUAGCGAAAUUCCUUGUCGGGUAAGUUCCGACCUGCACGAAUGGCGUAACGAUGGCGGCGCUGUCUCCACCCGAGACUCAGUGAAAUUGAAAUCGCUGUGAAGAUGCAGUGUAUCCGCGGCUAGACGGAAAGACCCCGUGAACCUUUACUGUAGCUUUGCACUGGACUUUGAGCCUGCUUGUGUAGGAUAGGUGGGAGGCUUUGAAGCGUGGACGCCAGUUCGCGUGGAGCCAUCCUUGAAAUACCACCCUGGCAUGCUUGAGGUUCUAACUCUGGUCCGUAAUCCGGAUCGAGGACAGUGUAUGGUGGGCAGUUUGACUGGGGCGGUCUCCUCCUAAAGAGUAACGGAGGAGUACGAAGGUGCGCUCAGACCGGUCGGAAAUCGGUCGCAGAGUAUAAAGGCAAAAGCGCGCUUGACUGCGAGACAGACACGUCGAGCAGGUACGAAAGUAGGUCUUAGUGAUCCGGUGGUUCUGUAUGGAAGGGCCAUCGCUCAACGGAUAAAAGGUACUCCGGGGAUAACAGGCUGAUACCGCCCAAGAGUUCAUAUCGACGGCGGUGUUUGGCACCUCGAUGUCGGCUCAUCACAUCCUGGGGCUGAAGCCGGUCCCAAGGGUAUGGCUGUUCGCCAUUUAAAGUGGUACGCGAGCUGGGUUUAGAACGUCGUGAGACAGUUCGGUCCCUAUCUGCCGUGGACGUUUGAGAUUUGAGAGGGGCUGCUCCUAGUACGAGAGGACCGGAGUGGACGAACCUCUGGUGUUCCGGUUGUCACGCCAGUGGCAUUGCCGGGUAGCUAUGUUCGGAAAAGAUAACCGCUGAAAGCAUCUAAGCGGGAAACUUGCCUCAAGAUGAGAUCUCACUGGGAACUUGAUUCCCCUGAAGGGCCGUCGAAGACUACGACGUUGAUAGGCUGGGUGUGUAAGCGUUGUGAGGCGUUGAGCUAACCAGUACUAAUUGCCCGUGAGGCUUGAC